UAGCCUGAAGUGAUGAGCUUGGUUCAUGUCUCUUCUCUGAGAUUUAUGCUGGAGAUACUCCAAAGGCUCUGAUCAGGCAA
ensembl:snoRNA